UGCGUAGGCGGAAUAAUAAGUCAGUGGUGAAAUCCUGUGGUUCAACCACAGAACUGCCAUUGAUACUGUUAUUCUUGAAUAUAGUUGAGGUAGGCGGAAUGUGUAAUGUAGCGGUGAAAUGCUUAGAUAUUACACAGAACACCGAUUGCGAAGGCAGCUUGCUAAACUAUUAUUGACGCUGAGGCACGAAAGCGUGGGGAGCGAACAGGAUUAGAUACCCUGGUAGUCC
rnacentral:rRNA from 1 species